GCCUAAUACAUGCAAGUCGAGCGGAGCUUCGGAAGUAGCUUGCUACAGAGGAAGCUUAGCGGCGGACGGGUGAGUAACACGUAGGCAACCUGCCUGUAAGCUGGGGAUAACCUCCGGAAACGGAAGCUAAGACCCGAUAGGAAAUGCUCUCGCAUGGGAGCGUUUGGAAAGACGGAGCAAUCUGUCGCUUACGGAUGGGCCUGCGGCGCAUUAGCUAGUAGGUGAGGUAACGGCUCACCUAGGCGAGGAUGCGUAGCCGAACUGAGAGGGGGAACGGCCACACUGGGACUGAGACACGGCCCAGACUCCUACGGGAGGCAGCAGUAGGGAAUCUUCGGCAAUGGGCGCAAGUCUGACCGAGCAACGCCGCGUGAGUGAAGAAGGGUUUCGGCUCGUAAAACGCUGUUGCCAAGGAAGAAGGGUAAGGAGAGUAACUGCUCUUUAUUUGACGGUACUUGAGAAGAAAGCCCCGGCUAACUACGUGCCAGCCGCCGCAGUAAUAC
rnacentral:rRNA from 1 species